AGGACAACCAUCUCUGCAUCAUAUAUAGGCCUAUGCAUAUGCAUCAACUCUAUGGGUGUUUUAAAUUAAUCAUCACCUUAGAAAGCACUGUCCAUUUCAUUGUGUUAGGCUUUGCAACAACAUCCACAACAACUAUUUUGUCCAUCAGUUUCAUCCUGUUGUAUCCCACUACUGUGCGAUCCGCACUGAAUGGGGGCUGCGCUCAAUGAGGUGUGGGCGGUGCUACCCAACGUUGUACAAUGUAGGCUAAGUGUUUGAUGUGAUUUUUGAAUGCAUUUGCAUUGAUGUCAGAGUGGUUAGAGGGACAAUACAGCUCUGAGUAACAUGCCAUUAGUCACCUGAUGGUCAUUAGCGAGUUGGGUAAUACUAAAGCAUGUCCGGAGUGCAUAAAAGGAGAUUACUGUGACCGUAGAAUUUAACUGCGGUCAUGACUCAUGAGUGCCUGUGUGGCAGUAAUACGGUGCCCUAUUGUGACCUUUCUGUUGGCUGCUGAUACUAGUGAAUGCUCUAUUGCAGUUAUUUUGGAUCUCAGUACUGCGUUUGAUACUAUUGAUCAUAACAACCUUGUUGAACGGCUGGAGAGGUGGGUGGGAAUCUCUUUUUCUUUUGGCUCUAUACUCCAAAAGUUUGGAUUUGAAAUGAAACAGUUACUAUCAGGUUAAAGUACAGACUAUUAGAWUUAUUUGAGGGUAUUUGUGUAAAUAUUGGUUGUACCAUUUAGAAAUGACAACACAGUAGUUCCUAUAUUUCAGGGCACCAAAAGUAUUGGGACAAUUGGAUUGACAGGUGUUUCUGGUUAGUCAGAUGUGUUCCGUCACCAUCAUUUGUGCAGACAUAAGAGUGCUGUCAAUGUCUAGUCUUCAUUCUAGGCUUUGCGUUUGGUGGAAGGAGAACUAAGGAUUCCAUCUUUAAGGCUUGGUUAAGCGCCAUUCCAUUUCUUAGAUAUUUUAUCUCUCUAUGAGCCUGGAUGCAGCCUGAGAUCCUCUGAUAGGGCACUGUUGACCAUUCCCAAGUCUAGGUUGAAAACGGUUUUAUAUUCUAAUUCCUCCUGUCUUUGUUAGUACUUUUGUUUUAUUUUAUGAUGUGAAGCACUUUGUUAAUGGUAUUAAAAAGCGCUAUACAAAUAGUUGUAUUAUUAUUGUUGUUAUUACUAGUCUCAAGGGUCCAGUCCAACUUCCCAGUUAUGAUGUGAAUGUUUAAAUAUCAUUCAUAUUGAAAAGGAAAUUAGACAUCACUAUAAUUCCUGCCCUCAAGACGAAACUCAAGUCCCUGGCAUCAGAGCCAAAAGAGAACAACAUUUUCCUAAUCCAGGACUACAACGACCUAAAAGGAAUCCUAGACAACUUUCAAAAAAAGAUCUUCAACAUUGAAGGUUCCAAGACUGCUCUGGCUGGAAACUUGACUAAGGAGAUGUCUCAGAGUGGGUUCAGCGCUGUCUACGUUAAUAAGGACACCUUGGUUUUGGGCUCAGUGGGAUCAAACAACUGGCGUGGGUCUCUCUUUGAGACUGAGGGUCUGAGAUCAGAGGAAAGGGAAAUCCAGGACCCCACAUUGGACAAAGAUUCCUAUAUGGGAUACUCUGUAGCUGUUGGGAAGAAGAAUGAGAACCUUCUAUAUUUUACUGGAGCACCAAGAUCUGAACACAUGGGACAGAUCCUACUUUUCAACAAGGUCA